CCCUUAGAUGUUCUGGGCUGCACGCGUGCUACACUGAUUACUUCAACAAGUGUUUUAACUGGAGAGUUUGCGUAAUCCUGAAAUGUUAUCGUGAUGGGAGUAGAGUAUUGUAUUUGUUAAUCUUUAACGAGGAAUUCCUAGUAAGUGUAGGUUUAUAAGUUGUUCUGAUUACGUCCCUGCCCUUUGUACACACCGCCCGUCGCUCCUACCGAUUGAUUGAUCCGGUGAAUUACAUAGAAUUUUGCGUUUUACAUGACGGAAGAUGAAGUGUUUUAAACCUUAUCAUUUAGAGGAAGGAGAAGUCGUAACA
rnacentral:rRNA from 1 species